UUUCAUAGCCAUCUUUGUCAACAUUGUUACAACAUGCAUUUUUAUUUAUACAUAGAAUUGCCUGAAAUCCAGUGGGACUUGAGUGUUGAGAUCAUGCUGUGAGAUGAUCUGUCUAGAGGAAUGGACAAAGAUGGGCAGACCUAUUUAGAUAUAGGCAUGUAGAAAGUUUGGAGCUAAUCCAAAGUACCCCAAUCUAAAACAAACCACCAAAAGGAAUGUUAGACAUAGGGCUAUUUAUUGCUGCUCUGAUACUGUACUUUCCAGGGACAAGGACCUGGUCACGUGACUGGAGUUGGCCAAUAAAGUGUCAUCAGAAGCCUGUAAGCUCUAAUGCACCAACUAUAGUCACAUUUUCUGGCCAUUAGCAGGGGCUAUGUCAUAGUAGGAGCUUUGUCAGGUUGUACCCCUAAGUGAAGAUGACAUGGAGUCAGGUCGGCUCCUCUCCACCUCCAGCUAGUUCAUAAUGAGGAUGUCACUCAAGAAAGAAAUCAUUACUUCUUUUUCCAGAAUUUAGUUUUGUUCUGACAAGUUCAUAAACUGCUAGCUGGAGCAGGGUACUAACAUAAUUAGAGAAGCAUAAUUUGUCAUUGGUUUGAAGGACAAGCUGCAGGCUGUGGAGAGAGCAUUGCGAAGUCUUGGAGGAUGACAGGUGACUCAGCAGCACAGCCUUGGUUAAACGAUUGCCCCCCGUGACUCAGAAGGCCGAUUAUAUGUGAAACGAUAGCUACAGGGAAAGAAGAGGGAAACGCAGUAGUAGUGAUGUGUUUUGCUUUCUAUCGGUUGACUUGGCAAGGCGUUUGUAAGAAACAAGGUCACAAAAGAAUUAGCUGGGUUCCAAGUGGGACUUAAUGGAAAGUGUGAAGCUUCACAAUGUCAGAGAGGCUGACUGAUUCCAGGUGCCAGCAGUAGGGGAUAAAAUUGAGAGCCUCUUGGCAAUAAAAAUAUAUUAAAGUUGAGCCUUGUUGCAAAGGGCACAACCUGCUCAUCUACCUUCAAACACCACUCGCCUGAUUAUAUUUCACUUACCAUCCCAUCAUUAUCAAAGGAUAUGAAGGCCUAGAGUGUACCAGAGUAAAGGCCAAGGAGGUCUUUGAAGAAAAUGGUAGGUGUGGUUGUUAGCACAUGGAACUGUCAUCUGCUGAUAUGGAGCAGAUGAAGUCAUUGCAAGAGGAGUCCUACAAAGGAACCCGGAGACAGAAUGAAGAAAGGCUAAACGUGAGGGACAGAAAAUGACCCCAAACCAGAGACAGUCUGGAGGAGGCAAUGAGAUGAGACAGCCAAUGCAGACUCCAAGUCAAGGGUGUUCUCUGAUACCUGGUUUGCAUGUGCCCCAGAGCAUAAUGGGAAAGCAAGCCCGAGACCACAGGACAGGUAACUCAGCUCCCCCACUGCACACAUUUAAGGGCCUAAGACCUUCCCCAGGUCACUGUUUGUUUGGGGACUUUCAGAGAAGCUUACAGCCAGGGUUAAUGUCUCCCCCUGUUUCCCCUCUUCUCAAAUUGGAAUUCUUCUUGGAGUUAUGUGUUCCCUAGUCCACCUUCUACCACUGGGUGUGUAGAAGGUGGAUAACUUGUCUGUUUAAUUCAUGGCCUCCAGAACAAUAGGUGACCAUCCAGGUCCAGUUCUGUUACCUAUUAUUUCUUUGCAUCCUUCACGAUUUAGUUUGAAGCCUUAACCCCGCCCCCCCCCAGUGGAGUCCUAUUUAGAAACAGUGACUUUAAAAGGGUAAUUUGGGUUAUAUGAGGUCAUAGGCCUAGGCCUUAGUCCAAGAAGACUGGUGGCCUUGUAAGAAGAGAAAAGCAACAGAGGAAAGACUGCACAUCGCAUGAGAACACAAGGAGAAGAUGGCUCUCUGCAAGCUAAGGAGAGAGGCCAUAGCUUAAGAGGACUUGAUCCUGGACUGGCAGCUUCCUGAAUUGUGAGUUUAUCUCUCCUUUUUAAGCCAUCUUCUCUGUGGUUUUUUGUUACAGUGUGAACAAUGAGGUCCUACUGGAAAUUUGAAGACCACCGCCCAGAGGUUCCUGACCCGUGACUAGGUGCUGGGAUUACAGGUAUCUACCACCAGCAGAUGGACUGUCUUAUCUGCCGAAGUGCUAUUUACUGUUUUCUGUUCCCCUCAUAACUGAAGUCUGGGACAUCCAGAUGGUAGAGUGUCUGUUAACCUGGAUUUCCAGCCAACCCACAAUAGUCAUGGAUAUAGAGGGCUUCUCUCCAAAGGACUCAACUCAGAACCACACUGGGACGACAGUGCUGGGAAAUGAAGCUCCUUCCUCUCUGUCUGGUGAGCAGACUUUAGGAGAAGGUGGUGGUGACAAGGUGUGUUACAGACAGUCCCUGGAGGAAACGGAUGGAGUGCUGAGUUCUCUAUUGUGCUUUGGGAGGCCUUCUCUGCUUUUUUUUAUUUUUAUUUAUUUUAAGAUUUAUUUAUUAUUA